UAAGCAAACAUUUGUGUUUACUGUGAAUAGCUCUGAAAAUUUUAGCCAAAAUCAUUGGAAUUACAGCUAUUGUAUCGUUAAAGAUGAGUUGGGAGGUAUGUCAAUUUACAGUGAUACAUUCCAUUUUCAACAUGUGCGAAGUCCUACAGCCUCAGAAAAGUCUCAAAGUACGUAGUGUUCUAUAGUUGUACUAGUUUGGUGAGCUGCCACCACCAUGACGGCGCUGCAGAUGCAGAACCUUAUCUUCUAUAGUGACACUUCUUGCAGUUUAUAAUGACAGGAAUAGUCACAGAAAGUUUUCGGGAGGAAAACUAAUAACAUUUCACAGCUCCGUCUCGUUAUGGUAACGCAUACUUUCGUUUCAGCGGUAAAGUUGGUAGUGAGUUGUUUGAUGGCCCAACGAAAUGUUUCCAAAACGUACACGUGUGGCCACGGUCAAUGUGUAAGGUGGCUAUGGUUUCAACAUCUCUCUCAGUCUCCAUUCUGUACACCUUACUGAAACAAAGAGGAAUUUGAAGAAAUCGUUUUUAAAAAUCCACAACGGCAAAAGUAGCCCGAACCCCAGGGACGAGGGUUAUACGUAGUAUUCAUUCCUCUUCCCGGUUAUGAUGGUUUUUGCUGGGGUUUGUGGUAAUGGUAAUCCAUAUCAUUGGUACCUCAAGUAUCGAACUUCUUUGACUUGCAGUUCUUUGUCAAGCAAUUCAUGUAAACUGAACGUGAAUGGGUCUUUUUUUUUUCUCUCUCUCUCACGAACAUAAAUGGUCGUCGUUCACUUUGGCUUCGGCACUGGAGGCCAUGAAUGUCAAGUGCCUCCCUCCUGUCGUGGCCUUCUUCCCCUUCACCUUGCCUGAGCCGUCGAUGAAAAUUCGUCAUUUCCUGGUUUUUCUAUCGUCCUUUUUUCUUUCAUCGGUGCGAUUUAUUCGCAGUUCAAUUAUUCGAUAUAGAUGAACAAUAACCGAACAUAAAAAGAUGCUAAAUUGCCAUUUACUUUAUGAAGCUGUAAAUGACCUCAAGGAUGAUGCUGAUGUAGGAGCCAUAGUAAUGUAACUAACUUGAAAGAAAAACGGUUGAAUGAAGAAUUAGCAGGAGAAGCCAGCGAUUUAUUGGUAAGAAGAGAUUGAAAUCUACCGAGUUUUCACCACCGAUUCUUAUUUUGUAAAUACCUAUAUGAUGGCAACAUAUGCAUGAAUGAAAAAUCGUCGCCCUGCUGUGAGUGAAAUCUUUUUUUUUUACUGGAAUAAUAUAGGGAAGAGGACUUGUUUUAUGAUCACAUAAUUUCCGUUAUUACUGCUUAAUAUGAUAUAGGCAGCCACGUGUUCAAUUCUCAACACCCAUUUGCUCUAUAGUAUAAAGCUUUAUUUAGUUUUGAAUAAGACCAAUAGAUUCAUACAUUGCAAACAAUAUGCAAAUGUUGCUUUUAUGAAAAAAUACAUAACUGAAAGCGUCACUUCAUCAUGUGAAUUUGUCUUGAGAUUUUUAGAAAGAGCUCAAAUACGUCCAUGAGUUGAUCUGGUCACAGCUAUUAAAAAAAAAAGUAAAGAUUUUCUUUUGCUGUUAGUUUUUGUUUGCAUGAGUGGGUUUUUUUUUAACCA